GGAGAGGUGGCAGAGCGGUUUAAUGCAGCGGUCUUGAAAACCGUCGUGGGCGCGAGCCCACCCAGAGUUCGAAUCUCUGCCUCUCCGCCA
rnacentral:tRNA from 1 species